AUUUCCUGUCUAGUUCGCACAGGUGUGUUAGUAAGAGUAUCCACAAGUUUAGUUCAUUUUAACUGUCGAUAUAUUCUAAGUUUGACAUCUAGAAAGUGUCGAAAUACAAUUACAGAGAGAAAAGGCGAAAGGGAACUGGAUUCGUAACUCGCGCACAGCCGCCCACACGUGAAGCGCGCGGACACCGAACUCGAUCCUCUUUUAAAUCCUUUGAACAGACACAAAAUUAUGACAAAAUACCCAUCUCGACAAUCAUUCAGUCGCUGAAAAAUGACGCAACCGAACCGAGGAGUAUAUAAGAGCCCGUCCCCCGCAUGACGUCCUCUUGGAGUCGUUGCUAUCGCUUGACGAG
rnacentral:lncRNA from 1 species